GAUGAACGCUGACAGAAUGCUUAACACAUGCAAGUCGAUUCAAGUUACCUUCGGGUAAUGAGGAUGGCGGACGGGUGAGUAACGCGUAAGGAACUUGCCUCUUGGUCUGGGACAACUGUUGGAAACGACAGCUAAUACCGGAUAUUAUGAGAUUCUCGCAUGGGAAACUUAUGAAAGCUAUAUGCGCCAAGAGAGAGCCUUGCGUUCCAUUAGCUAGUUGGUGGGGUAACGGCCCACCAAGGCGACGAUGGAUAGCCGGCCUGAGAGGGUGAACGGCCACAAGGGGACUGAGAUACGGCCCUUACUCCUACGGGAGGCAGCAGUGGGGAAUAUUGGACAAUGGGCCACAAGCCUGAUCCAGCAAUUCUGUGUGCACGAUGAAGGUCUUCGGAUUGUAAAGUGCUUUCAGUUGGGAAGAAGAAAGUGACGGUACCAACAGAAGAAGCGACGGCUAAAUACGUGCCAGCAGCCGCGGUAAUACGUAUGUCGCAAGCGUUAUCCGGAUUUAUUGGGCGUAAAGCGCGUCUAGGCGGAAAAAUAAGUCUGANGUUAAAAUGCGGGGCUCAACUC
rnacentral:rRNA from 1 species